GGCGUCUGUGGUGUAGUGGUUAGCACACUUGCCUGGCACCUCAAUGGUUGGGGGUUCAAUUCCCACCUCUGCCA